rnacentral:rRNA from 1 species
CGGGGGGAGCAAGCGUUGUUCGGAUUUACUGGGCGUAAAGCGCGUGUAGGCGGCUUGGCAAGUCGGGUGUGAAAGCCCUGGGCUCAACCUAGGAAGUGCACUCGAAACUGCUUCGCUGGAGUGUCGGAGAGGAAAGCGGAAUUCUCGGUGUAGAGGUGAAAUUCGUAGAUAUCGAGAGGAACAUCGGUGGCGAAGGCGGCUUUCUGGACGAUUACUGACGCUGAGACGCGAAAGCGUGGGGAGCAAACAGGAUUAGAUACCCUGGUAGUCCACGCCGUAAACGAUGGGUGCUAGGUGUCGCGGGCUUUGACCCCUGCGGUGCCGUAGCUAACGCAUUAAGCACCCCGCCUGGGGAGUACGGCCGCAAGGCUA